GACGAACGCUGGCGGCGUGCUUAACACAUGCAAGUCGAACGGUGAACGAGGGAGCUUGCUCCCUCCGGAUCAGUGGCGAACGGGUGAGUACCACGUGAGCAAUCUGCCCCGAACUCUGGGAUAAGCGUUGGCAACGACCUCUAAUACCGGAUACGACGCGGGUGGGCAUCCUCUCCGCGUGGAAAGAACUUCGGUUCGGGCUGAGCCCGCGGCCUCACUGCUUGUUGUUGAGGUGGCGCCUCACCAAGGCGACGACGGGUAGCCGGCCUGAGAGGGUGACCGGCCACACGAGGACUGAGACACGGCCCAGACUCGUACGGGGGGCAGAAGUGGGGGAUAUUGCACUAUGGGCGGAAGCCUGAUGCAGCAACGCCGCGUGAGGGACGAAGGCCUUCGGGUUGUAAACCUCUUUUAGCAGGGAAGAAGCGAAAGUGACGGUACCUGCAGAAAAAGCACCGGCUAACUACGUG
rnacentral:rRNA from 1 species